rnacentral:rRNA from 1 species
AUGGCGGCAAUAGGUUUCAGAUCCAUCAUCGACGACGCAGUGGGCAUAGAGCAUGAAGCACAGAUGGCUGGCAUGGCAGGGGGCACCCACGGUGAGGGGGGAGAUUCAUGUGGCAAUAGCAUAUUCCAUUCAUCGUCGCCAGUGCUGGUGGCGGCAGAUGUCCCCCGCGGGGUGGUGGUCGAGCCACCAAAUGCAAAUUGGGAAAGGAAACACCCCGGCCCUGCCUUACCUCGCGCACGCGCCGCCGCCCCUCUGCUUCACCGCACCGCCGGCUCCUGCCCGACCGUGCCGCCGCCCCCUGUGCCCGACCGCGCCGCCGCUCCCUCUGCUCAUUGGCGCGGCCGCCCUCCCCCACUGCUGCCAUGGCCGUCCAUGCUCCUCCAGUCCUCCCCUUCUUUUUCUCUUCCCCGACCCCACCCCAUCGCCGGCAAACAGGACAGCGCGCAUCCACCAGCUGAAUGGCCACCGUGUGCCUGGAAGCUGCCCACCUCCCCGACGGUGGAGUCGCUCCUCCACGACGAGGGUCUGGAUGGAGGGGUCGUCCCCAUCCCUUCGUCCAAGGGUGAGCGGGCCUCGCCGUGCCUGAGGACGGCCACCAACCACCGCGUCCACAACCUCCCAGAGCAGCCACACAUGUGCCUCCUCGCUGCUCAGUCCCUGGCCACGCACGCUCUGGCCGCAGCGUCCAGGCCGUUCACAGUUGCCACCCUAGUCCGUUCACCACCGCCAACCGAGGCCGAUCGACAAUGCAGCGAUGAGUGCCUGUGGAGCUUACUUUUCAGCCCAGGUCGUGGCUUUGCUGCGGCACACCUCGCACUGCUUCUCCUUGCUGGACUAGUCGACUUACAAGAGAUCAACUCAAAUAAAAAUUACCCAAGGAUCCAGCGUGCCCUACCGCGCGUUCUCCAUCGAACGGUCAGACUUCUUGUCCUCCGGUCCUCCCUCUCCACCACUCUAGGAUCUGCAUCGCCGUCCCAGUCCAACACCAUGGCGCCGGGGUGGUGGUUCGGCACAUGGCCUGUUCCAACGAUCUCUAAUGGUGGUCAUGGCGUGGUGUUGGAGGCCCCGUAUGCAAACAGGGACAAGUUGUGGGAUGGCAUACAAGUGGGGAUGGCAACAAAGCUUGAGAGAUUUUAUGUUGCCAUAUCGGGCUUCACAGUCAAUAGCACCAUGCUCUGGGAUCCCAAACUGAGGUCCCAUCAGGUCUGGAACACGACCCGGCACCCGGAAAAUGGUGUAACAGGGCUUCCAAGUGAGCUCCUUGCUUCUUGCUUCUCUUUAAAUCUCUUGAGCUUCACAUGCCAUCUAGCAACAUGGUGGUCAAACAACAUCCCGCCAGCCACCCUCCACCCUGCGCCACCCGCCGGCCUCCCUCCACCCCGUGCGGGCUCACCCCGGCGGCCGCUACUCGUCCAUGAAUGGGGUGCCUCGGAUCCCAUCGUCGGCGUCCCGUCGACGGUGGCCAUGAGCGAGAGCACCUGUAUUUGGCGGGAGCGGCUCCAUAUCCCUGCUUCCCCUCCUCACCUCCACUUCGUUGUGGUUCGUUGUUGA